rnacentral:rRNA from 1 species
GAUGAACGCUGGCGGCGUGCCUAAUACAUGCAAGUCGAGCGAAUGGAUUAAGAGCUUGCUCUUAUGAAGUUAGCGGCGGACGGGUGAGUAACACGUGGGUAACCUGCCCAUAAGACUGGGAUAACUCCGGGAAACCGGGGCUAAUACCGGAUAACAUUUUGAACCGCAUGGCUCGAAAUUGAAAGGCGGCUUCGGCUGUCACUUAUGGAUGUACCCGAGUCGCAUUAGCUAGUUGGUGAGGUAACGGCUCACCAAGGCAACGAUGCGUAGCCGACCUGAGAGGGUGGUCGGCCACACUGGGACUGAGACACGGCCCAGACUCCUACGGGAGGCAGCAGUAGGGAAUCUUCCGCAAUGGACGAAAGUCUGACGGAGCAACGCCGCGUGAGUGAUGAAGGCUUUCGGGUCGUAAAACUCUGUUGUUAGGGAAGAACAAGUGCUAGUUGAAUAAGCUGGCACCUUGACGGUACCUAACCAGAAAGCCACGGCUAACUACGUGCCAGCCGCCGCGGUAA